rnacentral:rRNA from 1 species
AGAUUGAACGCUGGCGGCAUGCCUUACACAUGCAAGUCGAACGGCAGCACGGGAGCAAUCCUGGUGGCGAGUGGCGAACGGGUGAGUAAUACAUCGGAACGUGCCCAAUCGUGGGGGAUAACGCAGCGAAAGCUGUGCUAAUACCGCAUAAGAUCUACGGAUGAAAGCAGGGGAUCG